ACUCUUCAGAUUAUUUGAUAAUCAUGAGAAUGAAUACCGACAGGUUUUGCCUUGGAACACUCCUUCAUGUGACUUACCUGUUGUUGUAGGUUUAUACAACCCCCGGAAGUACAGACAACAAAGCAGACAUAAUCUGGAAUAUCGAUAACCUCUAAAGCUCUAAGAGGACCCAAAAUAAAAGCAACUCCUGGAGGCUGGGAUUAUGAAAGAUUUUCACGAAACUCACGCCAGCUGCU